UCCAGCCAUCGACAUGUGAUCAAGACGUGCAAGGUGAAUCCAAGUUUCACGCUUCGCAGGACCGCACACUCGAUGACAGCUCCAGUAUACACGUCAGACCACUGCAACAGCAGCGCCCCUCUCACCACACACGGUCUUACACUGACAUCUGGUGUCGGACCACUGCAACAGCAGCGCCCCUCUCUCCACACAUGGUCUUACACUGACAUCUGGUGAUGGGGUCUGCAUAAUGAAGACACUGCCA